rnacentral:rRNA from 1 species
GAAUUCCCCCUUAGAGUUUGAUCCUGGCUCAGGAUGAACGCUGGCGGCGUGCUUAACACAUGCAAGUCGAACGGAGUUAGCGACCAUGAUUUCUUCGGAAUGAUAAUCGCUAACUUAGUGGCGGACGGGUGAGUAACGCGUGAGUAACCUGCCUCAUACAGGGGGAUAACACUUAGAAAUAGGUGCUAAUACCGCAUAAGCGCACAGUUCUGCAUGGAACAGUGUGAAAAACUCCGGUGGUAUGAGAUGGACUCGCGUCUGAUUAGGCAGUUGGCGGGGUAACGGCCCACCAAACCGACGAUCAGUAGCCGACCUGAGAGGGUGACCGGCCACAUUGGGACUGAGACACGGCCCAGACUCCUACGGGAGGCAGCAGUGGGGAAUAUUGCACAAUGGGGGAAACCCUGAUGCAGCAACGCCGCGUGAGUGAAGAAGUAUUUCGGUAUGUAAAGCUCUAUCAGCAGGGAAGAAGAAAGACGGUACCUGACUAAGAAGCACCGGCUAAAUACGUGCCAGCAGCCGCGGUAAUACGUAUGGUGCAAGCGUUAUCCGGAUUUACUGGGUGUAAAGGGAGCGCAGGCGGCCGUGCAAGCCAGAGGUGAAAACCCGGGGCUCAACCCCGCGGAUUGCCUUUGGAACUGUAUGGCUUGAGUACUGGAGGGGCAGGCGGAAUUCCUGGUGUAGCGGUGAAAUGCGUAGAUAUCAGGAGGAACACCGGUGGCGAAGGCGGCCUGCUGGACAGAAACUGACGCUGAGGCUCGAAAGCGUGGGGAGCAAACAGGAUAAGAUCUCUUGGUAGUCCACGCCGUAAACGAUGCCUCCAAAGGGGCGCAUUCACAGGAUGUGCGUGCCGCAGCAAACGCAAUAAGUAUUCCACCUGGGGAGUACGUUCGCAAGAAUGAAACUCAAAGGAAUUGACGCGGACCCGCACAAGCGGUGGAGCAUGUGGUUUAAUUCGAAGCAACGCGAAGAACCUUACCAGGUCUUGACAUCCCGAUGACAGGAAAGUAAUGUUUCCCUUCCUACGGGACAUCGGAGACAGGUGGUGCAUGGUUGUCGUCAGCUCGUGUCGUGAGAUGUUGGGUUAAGUCCCGCAACGAGCGCAACCCUUACUAUUAGUUGCUACGCAAGAGCACUCUAAUAGGACUGCCGUUGACAAAACGGAGGAAGGUGGGGAUGACGUCAAAUCAUCAUGCCCUUUAUGACCUGGGCUACACACGUACUACAAUGGUGUUUAACAAAGAGCGGCGAAGCCGCGAGGCGGAGCAAAUCUCCAAAAAACAUCUCAGUUCAGAUUGCAGGCUGCAACUCGCCUGCAUGAAGUCGGAAUUGCUAGUAAUCGUAGGUCAGCAUACUACGGUGAAUACGUUCCCGGGCCUUGUACUCACCGCCCGUCA